GGUUUGCUGAGAAAUCAAACAAAAGCUGUCUUUCAAAGAAAAAUACGCUGUAGUAUAGGAAAAACUGUACAAAGUACUGCUGAGGGUGAGAUUAGAGUAAGAGAGUUUCAUUACUAAUCGAAGUAAGGAGUUCCUGGUUCACAAGCGAAAAACGAGACGUCAGAUGAAACCAGAUUCUCAAUAUGACGGUAUACCAAACUUUGAUCUUCCUCAUCUUCAUCACGCUGCAGGAUGGAAACACUGGUUUUCCCAUUCUUACGGCAACGGAAGGAGGGCCCAUCACAAUCAAAUGCACAUGUUCUUCUCCUGGACAAAAGAAACUGUUCUGUAAGAAAAAUGGCGAAACAACUACUCUCUUUCAAACAACUAAUGACAUGGCUCAGAGGGGGAGAUACAGCAUUCACAACGAUUUUCUUUAUCUGAGCAUCACACAGCUGAAAAACUCAGACUCAGGCAUGUACAACUGCACUUUGAAUGAAUCGGAGAAUCUGGAGUCAUGCUGUAAUUUUCAGAUUGUUGUCACAGACUUGCCCAAGUUUAAAAAGGAGGCGUUGUGGGUUUUGGUGUUGCCCGUAGCUCUGUUUCUCGUUUGUAAAAAGAAGACAGAGAUCUCUGAUCGUCUGAACAGACGGAGAAACCCCGACCACAACACGACUGAGGUUACACUUUAUGAGAAUUGUUCUCCAGUCUCCACACCAGAUGACCCGAUCUAUCAGAGCCUUGAUCCAGCCAGCAGGGACCUGGAUCAAAUCUACUCUUCACUCACACAGAUACAACAACACAAAUGAUACUGUCUAAAUUUGAAUAUGGAUUUUAUACCAUAAAGGUUGAUUUUGCAACCAGAGAGACAAAAACUGAUACCAUGGAUUGUGCCUUCAAACUCCUCCUUUUUCUUCCCUUUAAAGAAAAAAACUAUAAAGAUUUGAAUGUGCCAGUGAGUUUCUUUUGGGUUUUCUCUUUUCUUGUAAUGUACAAAAUCCUCAGUUAACUUAAAAGCACCACCUGGUGGUGAUGCAGCAGUACUCACAAAUAUUGUAUUAUAUCCUUUCAAACUGAACUCUUACGUUUCAAAAUGUUGAUGAACAGCACUUUGUUUGUAUGUCUUCAGUGACUCUGGCAACAACAUAAACUGCAUAUUGGUAAGUUUAAGGACUUCAAAGUUUUAGAACACAAUUAAAAUUAAACUGAAAUCAAAUAUAAAAUACCAUAUUGUAUUUGGGUCUAUCAUGAAAUUUGAAAUAUCAUAUUUCCAGCAUUAAUACUGUAAAACAAAGCACCAAAAGAGAAAUUUGAACUAGGAUGAACCAAAGAUUGGCAGGAAAACAUGCUAUACCCACCAUGCUAACCAAGCCUACCUUGGAUCUGAGCAAGAGACGGAAAACUGAAGCCAUUCUGACUUAGACGUUGCCCAGAUUAACAAGGUCCGGGUCAGGUGUUGAGGAAUCGGGACACACCGAUAAGAAGUGGGCUUCUGGAACAAGAUGGCACAAGUCGCCAAUAGAUGAGAAGAGGGCGCUGUUGGAAUGCUACCAUGCAAGUAACCCCAGCAGAAGGGGUUAAAUGAAGAGGAUGUGGGACCUAUGGAAUCUUCAAUACCUAGCAUCCAGUCUGACGGUCCAACUAGUAGCAUUUUCACUUGGGGC